rnacentral:rRNA from 1 species
UACGUAGGGUGCGAGCGUUGUCCGGAAUUACUGGGCGUAAAGAGCUCGUAGGUGGUUUGUCGCGUUGUCCGUGAAAACUCACAACUCAAUUGUGGGCGUGCGGGCGAUACGGGCAGACUGGAGUACUGCAGGGGAGACUGGAAUUCCUGGUGUAGCGGUGGAAUGCGCAGAUAGUCAGGAGGAACACCGGUGGCGAAGGCGGGUCUCUGGGCCGAUACUGACGCUGGAGGCACGAAAGCGUGGGGAGCAAACAGG